rnacentral:rRNA from 1 species
AGUCGAACGGAAAGGCCCCUUCGGGGGUACUCGAGUGGCGAACGGGUGAGUAACACGUGGGUAAUCUGCCCUGCACUUCGGGAUAAGCCUGGGAAACUGGGUCUAAUACCGGAUAGGACCCCGAGGCGCAUGCCUUGGGGUGGAAAGCUUUUGCGGUGUGGGAUGGGCCCGCGGCCUAUCAGCUUGUUGGUGGGGUGACGGCCUACCAAGGCGACGACGGGUAGCCGGCCUGAGAGGGUGUCCGGCCACACUGGGACUGAGAUACGGCCCAGACUCCUACGGGAGGCAGCAGUGGGGAAUAUUGCACAAUGGGCGCAAGCCUGAUGCAGCGACGCCGCGUGGGGGAUGACGGCCUUCGGGUUGUAAACCUCUUUCACCAUCGACGAAGGUCCGGGUUUUCUCGGAUUGACGGUAGGUGGAGAAGAAGCACCGGCCAACUACGUGCCAGCAGCCGCGGUAAUACGUAGGGUGCGAGCGUUGUCCGGAAUUACUGGGCGUAAAGAGCUCGUAGGUGGUUUGUCGCGUUGUUCGUGAAAUCUCACGGCUUAACUGUGAGCGUGCGGGCGAUACGGGCAGACUGGAGUACUGCAGGGGAGACUGGAAUUCCUGGUGUAGCGGUGGAAUGCGCAGAUAUCAGGAGGAACACCGGUGGCGAAGGCGGGUCUCUGGGCAGUAACUGACGCUGAGGAGCGAAAGCGUGGGGAGCGAACAGGAUUAGAUACCCUGGUAGUCCACGCCGUAAACGGUGGGUACUAGGUGUGGGUUUCCUUCCUUGGGAUCCGUGCCGUAGCUAACGCAUUAAGUACCCCGCCUGGGG